UAGUUUUAGAGCAAUGGUGUGAGCUCCAGGAGGGUCCCAGUGCCGAAUGUUGGGGGUCAGGUUUGCACUGGUGCUGGUAAUGCUUCCUUAAAAGAUAAGGUAAAAACCCAAAUGAAAUACAGGAGGCAAAGUUCUCACCACGCCACAUAAAUCAGGAAGUGGAGGUUUAAAUAUUGCACAAAAUGUCCUGAAACUCGCAGUCAGGUUAGCAGAGAAUUGGAGGAAAGUAAAGUACUGGUGGUGCCAUCAUCCCCUGGGGUACUUUAUGACCUGAGGUGGUUUGCAGGGACACUGCAUCCAAAACCAAACAGCACCUGAUGUACAAAGGGCAGGCAGGCAGAGGGGAGAUGCUAUUUACAUUAUGGAUGAGGAGCAGAACCACUGAGUGACUUGCUUUAAACCACAGGCAGUGCACGAGCAGAAACAGGGGUUGGAUUCAGGCCUCACAGACUUUCAUUGCAGAUGAUUGGUGCCGAGCUGCCUUCUUUCUGCUCCGUGCCAGAGGACAGCACAGAGCAGCCACCCGGAGGUCACAGCCUGCAGAGCGCCAGGACAUAACGCACAGAAAUAGAUCCCUGUUACAAAAUGUCGCGGGAUGUUUUUCACAUUAUCACCUUUCAGAGCAAAAGAUGCAAAGAAGAAACCUCUGCUCAUCCCCAUCCUAGAUGUACUAAUUGCCUCUGAGACAACUUCGCCAAGAGAGAAAAAGACAGACGCCGCAAAGCAGAGUUCUCACAGCUGUGUGAUGCCAGAAACUGUUCCAUGUGAUGAACCUCAGCCUUAUAUACAUUCAGCUCAGAAUGAAGUGUGGCUUAAAUGUGAAGUGUCCAUCAUGCAGAUGGGGACCUGAAACAGAGGCUGGACUUUCCCUUCAUGUUCUGGCUGUUCCCUUAACCUGAGUGCAAUGCAGAGAGCUUCAGCUGAGCAGAGCGACUCUUCGGAAAUGGUAUGGAAGCUAUUAAAGUUUAAAAUGCAAUCAUGUGCAUGAAAGAGAGGUCAUUCCUUCACACUGCUUGGAGUCCAAGCGAAAGGAGGAAAAGGGGAAGUGCCUCAGCUGUUUAGAACAGGGCAAUGGAAAAGAAAUAGAAAUCAGAAAGGAGGGAGUGAUGGAGGGGAGCAGCUCUGGAAAGGCAGCAUGCAACACAGAUUCAUGCAAGGAGGAGGUGAAAGAGGUUGCCAUUCUGCACCCCCAGCUCACAGCCUGCACCCAUGGGUGCUGGGGAAGAAGUGUGAGCUGCGCCUCCCAGCAGCACAGAGAUCCACAGGUAGAUUUCAUAAAACACUUCACUCUCAACCCAGGACUCUGUCAAGCUCCCAUGUUGGUUGAGACUUGUAGAAGCAAUAAUUUAUAAAUUACAAACGGUAGCAAAGCAACAGCUGUUUCAGCAUCUGUCAUUGCCUGUGACAGAAAUACAUGCAAAGCCCUGGGAACCUCAAGGUGUCAACCCAAGCAACCUGCUGCUACAGGCUUCCAUCAAUCAGAGUGACCGGCGCACGGCCACGGCUCCGAGUGGCAGCAAACAAAUGCUUCCAGCAUGCUGCUCUCUGCCUGCUCUGGUGACUAACAGCUCAGGGGAAAAGAAGUUGGUGAGCAAUU
ensembl:lncRNA